UACAGAGACUGCAAGCGUUAUUCGGAUUCACUGGGCGUAAAGGGUGCGCAGGCGGCCAAGUGUGUGAGGCGUGAAAGCCCGGGGCUUAACUCCGGAAUUGCGCCUCAAACUACAUGGCUAGAGCAUUGGAGAGGGUAGCAGAAUUCACGGUGUAGCAGUGAAAUGCGUAGAUAUCGUGAGGAAUACCAGAGGCGAAGGCGGCUACCUGGACAAUUGCUGACGCUCAGGCACGAAAGCGUGGGGAGCAAAAGGG
rnacentral:rRNA from 1 species